ACUCAAAUGAAUUGACGGGGGCCCGCACAAGCAGUGGAGUAUGUGGUUUAAUUCGACGCAACGCGAAGAACCUUACCAGGACUUGACAUGCUGUAGAAUACGUAAGAGAUUACGUAGUCCUUCGGGACUGCAGCACAGGUGGUGCAUGGUUGUCGUCAGCUCGUGUCGUGAGAUGUUGGGUUAAGUCCCGCAACGAGCGCAACCCUUAUGGUUAGUUGCCAAGUGCACUCUAGCCAGACUGCCGGCGAUAAGUCGGAGGAAGGUGGGGACGACGUCAAAUCAUCAUGCCCUUUAUGUCCUGGGCUACACACGUACUACAAUGGCCAUAACAGAGGGAAGCAAUACCGCGAGGAGGAGCAAAUCCCUAAAUAUGGUCCCAGUUCAGAUUGCAGGCUGAAACUCGCCUGCAUGAAGAUGGAAUUGCUAGUAAUCACAGGUCAGCAUACUGUGGUGAAUACGUUCCCGGGCCUUGCACACACCGCCCGU
rnacentral:rRNA from 1 species